GCCCGGUUAGCUCAGUCGGUAGAGCAUUCGGCUUUUACACGCGUAUCACCUGUGUGGCACCGAAAUGUCGGGGGUUCGAGCCCCCCAUUGGGCG
rnacentral:tRNA from 1 species